CUCUUUUCCCCAUCUCUGUCUCUGUAUCUGUCUCUCUCUCUCUCUGUUUCCAUCUCUGUCUCUCUCUCUCUCUCCCCUUCCUCUUUCUUUCCUCCCACAAUGUAUAAAACCUGGUAACAAGGUUGUGGCAAAUACCUUUGGCUGGCAAUAUCUUGGCAAGAAGUUGAGACGAUUAUUUGGAAAGACAAAAGGAAUAUUAAAGAUGGAAGACGACCUUCUCUCCGUAGACCAAACUAGCAAAUCCACCGGGGGCAACUCUCUCUCCCUCCCUCCCUUUGCCUUGGCUGUCAAGAUUAUGAUGAGGAAAUAAGAGUCCUGAAGGUCCAGUGGAUGGCCUAGAAUGCAGUGGAUGGCCUUGAUGUCUUAUAUGAUCAAGUUCCGAGUUCUCCACAGCGCCUUCUUCAGCGGUCUUCAUGGCCAUUGGGAUGACUCUCACCUCCCCCUUCCAUUAGGGAAGUCUUCACGUGUUUGGGAGUACACUCCCCCCCAACAUGGUGAUGGGUCUGAUGCCUUCAAUUACUCUCACCUGGUUCCGCCCAUUUGCAGAGACAAUUUUACUGGGGUGUAGCUGCUGUUCACGCAACAACUCCUUGGAGCUACAGAUGGCGAGUAAUCCAAUAUAUAUUAAACACGCAGUUCUUCUCUCCAUGUUUCCACAACUAUCUGGCUGCACAAGAAAAAUCAGAUCAAAAAGGAAAAUAAUGAGAAAGAAAGUAAAAUGCAAGCGAACAACAAGAAAAAG